rnacentral:tRNA from 1 species
GGGCCCGUAGUAUAACCUGGACAGAAUGCGAGCUUGCGGAGCUUGAGAUCCGGGUCCAAAGACAUCCCUUUUCUUUGGGAAAGAAAAGGUCUGUCAACCCCAAAAGAAAACGACUGGUUGGAGACGCUUUAACCCCAGAAAAAGGACGUUAGGAAAUCCCGGCGGGCCCG